ACAUACGACCAUAGGGUGUGGAAAACAGGGCUUCCCGUCCGCUCAGCCGUACUUAAGCCACACGCCGGCCAGUUAGUAGUUGGGUGGGUGACCACCAGCGAAUCCCGGCUGUUGUAUGUU
rnacentral:rRNA from 2 species